rnacentral:rRNA from 1 species
AACGUGGGAGGCAAGCGUUAUCCGGAGUUACUGGGCGUAAAGAGUGCGUAGGCGGACGUGUAAGUGGGUGGUGAAAGCGCCCGGCUAAACCGGGCGAGGUCCAUUCAGACUGCAGGUCUAGAGGCGGAUAGAGGGGUGCGGAAUUCCGGGUGUAGCGGUGAAAUGUGUAGAGAUCCGGAGGAACACCAGUGGUGCAAACGGCGCCCUGGGUCCGAACUGACGCUGAAGCACGAAAGCGUGGGGAGCGAACGGG